rfam:Triticum aestivum genome assembly, contig: Triticum_aestivum_CS42_TGACv1_scaffold_486930_6AS
UAGCUACUCCCUCCGUUCGGAAUUACUUGUCGUCAAAACGGAUGUAUCUAGACAUUUUUUAGUUUUAGAUACAUUCAUUUCUGCGACAAGUAAUUCGGAACGGAGGGAGUAGCUA